CUUCUUGCUUAUUCAGUGCACGGCUUACGGUUGCACAGCUUGUGCUAAAUCUGACAUCGUCAGCAUACAAAAAGAGAUGGUCUUUAAGAACUGAUUAAACCCUCUCAAGUCUAGGUUAUCUGGUGAUUGCCUCACGUACAAAAGAAUUAUACAAAAACUGCAGUCGCUUCUUCUGAAAAAGGAAAAAAAUCAUCAGAAUGGUCAAUGCACAGCAAAAUCUCAAGCGAGGACAGCCUCUACAUGAAGAGAUAUGUUUAUCAGAAAGGUAGCCUGUGCAGCAGAGCACUUCAUCCCAGCCCUCUCAGGAGCAGAUUUUAGGGAAUAGACAGCGCAGGCCAUCUGCUAUGUCCAGUGUACAUGGCUGUACUUGAUGCCAUAUGAGUUUGCAGAGGAGCAGAAGAGUGGGAUGUUUUUGACAGUGUGGUGUUAGAGCCACAAUUUUCUGGCAUGAAGCUGAAACACAGCUACAGGAACUGGCACACACUUGCCUUGCCCCUUGGCCUCGAACACAUCCAGCGCCAGUUCCUCUCUACGUUUCGAUACAAAUUCAGAGGCCCCCUAGGACACAAAGUACAAAAGUGGAAACUUGAUUGAUGAACUGUAUGUAUGCAUAAUCAGUGAAACUGGCAAUUACAAGUUUAUAAAAAAAUGUAAGUUUAUAAGAAAAUUUCCCUUUUUAAUGUAAUAGUAAAACAUAUGAGUAAAAUUCUGUUUUUAGUAUAAAGGCAAUGAGUAAUAUUCUGCAGGUUAAGUGAUCAAUAAUAGGUGAAACCAUUCUUAUGGAAUGUAAUCCUGAACAUAGUGUCUACACGCUGUCUCUGUGUACCUGAAG